UUACAAACAUCUCCACGCCUGAGCAGCAAAAAUUGGUCAUUGGUGGUGAGGUGUGCAUGUGGGGAGAAAGUAUUGAUGCCUCUGAUAUCGAGCAAACCAUCUGGCCUCGUGCUGCAGCUGCUGCAGGUAAUACUGGCGAAAACUAAGCAUUAAAAUCUCGGUUAGAUAUCAGUUUCCAUAACCUACCCAACCGAUAUAAGACCAGUAUAUAUAUAAUUGAAUAAAAUAGAAAAACAAAUUAAAAAGUAAUGGUAUUGUAUCGCUAUCGAACUAUAUGUUCCAAUAUCGGCAUUCGGUCAGACAGCAAACAUCAGUCCACGCAUAUUCGCAUACAGAUCAAUUGAACAUUUCAAAAUGGUAAUAUCUUUAUUGGUCUGACACUAGAUGUGUGCAUUGACAAAUUUACAAACUCGGCAUGAGUCCACCAUCUUUUAUACAUCUGAACUUGCAUGUUUGUAGAACAAGUGAUAUCUUCUUGUGCAUCCAAAGUGCUGUGGUAGUAUAGAAUAUCAAACUUGCCAAUACAAGAUUUAUGAUAUAGAGGUAAAUAAUUCUACUUAAUUUUUUCAUAUAAAAGAUUCAAGAAUAACCUGCACCAAACCAGCCGAGUGCUACCUCUGCUGUCUCCUUACUUCGACAGAAUCAUAUUAUCAAGUUGUCUUCUUCAACAUGCAUGCUACUCAUAUCUGAAAAACGUAUUGUGUAGUAUCAAAAGCAGAGAUAAAGAUCAAUACUUGUAUAAACUGUUUGUCAAAAUUCACGCCAUUGUUAAUUAAGUGUUUCUGAUCAUCUUUCGUGAAUCUACUGAAUUCUGCAAUCGGUUUGUUUUUUCCAAAGAGAGGUUGUGGACUCCUCUUGACAAACUAGCGAAGGACCCAAGGCAAGCCACAGGAAGAUUG
rnacentral:lncRNA from 1 species